rnacentral:rRNA from 1 species
GCCAAGGAGUCUAACAUGUGCGCAAGUCAUUUAGUUAUAAAACUAAAAGGCAUAACAAAAGUAAAGUAAGCUUUGCUUAAUUAGGGAGGAUAAUUAUUUAAAAUAAAGAUUUAUUCUUUAUUUUGUAAUUCGCACUCCCGGGGCGUCUAUUACUCAUUGCGAGUAAAGGCGCACCUAGAGCGUACACGUUGGGACCCGAAAGAUGGUGAACUAUGCCUGGCCAGGAUGAAGCCAGGGGAAACCCUGGUGGAGGUCCGUAGCGAUUCUGACGUGCAAAUCGAUCGUCAGAGCUAGGUAUAGGGGCGAUAGACUUAUCGAACUAUCUAGUAGCUGGUUCCUUCCGAAGUUUCCCUCAGGAUAGCUGGUGCCAAUGAUGAUUAGAGUCUCAUCUGGUAAAGCGAAUGAUUAGAGGCCUUGGGGCCGAAACGACCUCAACCUAUUCUCAAACUUUAAAUGGAUGAGAGCUUUGGCUUGCUUAAAAGUGAAGCCAAGGAUUUGGAUCUAGGUGCCAAGUGGGCCAAUUU